rnacentral:rRNA from 1 species
GACGAACGCUGGCGGCGUGCCUAAUACAUGCAAGUCGAACGAGAGCGACCGGUGCUUGCACUGGUCAAUCUAGUGGCGAACGGGUGAGUAACACGUGGGUAACCUGCCCAUCAGAGGGGGAUAACAUCCGGAAACGGAUGCUAAAACCGCAUAGGUCCUUUAACCGCAUGGUUGAAGGAGGAAAAGAGGCGCAAGCUUCUGCUGAUGGAUGGACCCGCGGUGCAUUAGCUAGUUGGUGAGGUAACGGCUCACCAAGGCCGUGAUGCAUAGCCGACCUGAGAGGGUGAUCGGCCACAUUGGGACUGAGACACGGCCCAAACUCCUACGGGAGGCAGCAGUAGGGAAUCUUCCGCAAUGGACGCAAGUCUGACGGAGCAACGCCGCGUGAGUGAAGAAGGUUUUCGGAUCGUAAAACUCUGUUGUUAGAGAAGAACAAGUGCUAGAGUAACUGUUAGCG